UACGUAGGGUGCGAGCGUUAAUCGGAAUUACUGGGCGUAAAGCGUGCGCAGGCGGUUUUGCAAGCCGGAUGUGAAAUCCCCGGGCUCAACCUGGGAAUGGCAUUCGGGACUGCAAGGCUGGAGUGCGGCAGAGGAGACUGGAAUUCCUGGUGUAGCAGUGAAAUACGUAGAUAUCAGGAGGAAUACCGAUGGCGAAGGCAGGUCUCUGGGCUGACACUGACGCUCAGGCACGGAAGCGUGGGGAGCAAACAGG
rnacentral:rRNA from 1 species